rnacentral:rRNA from 1 species
AGGACGAACGCUGGCGGCGUGCUUAACACAUGCAAGUCGAGCGGAAAGGCCCUUCGGGGUACUCGAGCGGCGAACGGGUGAGUAACACGUGAGUAAUCUGCCCCUAGCUCUGGGAUAGCUCCGGGAAACCGGGAUUAAUACCGGAUAAGACCACUUUAGACAUCUGCCGUGGUGGAAAGAAUUUCGGCUAGGGAUGUGCUCGCGGCCUAUCAGCUUGUUGGUGAGGUAACGGCUCACCAAGGCGACGACGGGUAGCCGGCCUGAGAGGGCGACCGGCCACACUGGGACUGAGACACGGCCCAGACUCCUACGGGAGGCAGCAGUGGGGAAUAUUGCGCAAUGGGCGAAAGCCUGACGCAGCGACGCCGCGUGGGGGAUGAAGGCCUUCGGGUUGUAAACCCUUUCAGCAGGGACGAAGCGAAAGUGACGGUACCUGCAGAGAAGCGCCGGCUAACUACGUGCCAGCAGCCGC